UGGGAAGGAGGCAGCCAAUGGCUUGGCGCGCGCCGGGGCGCCCCCGGAAGCGGUCAGCGCGCGGCCACGUGGGGCGGGAGCGGGGCUGCUAUGGAGCUGCUGCCCCGCCGUCCCGGGGAGUUCGGCUCCACCCGCUACUGGGAUCGGUUCUUCCGGCAGCGCGGGCAGCGGCCCUUCGAGUGGUACGGGGCCUUCGCGGAGCUCUGCCCGCUGCUGCACAAGUACGUGCGGCCCCGCGACAAGGUGCUGGUGGUGGGCUGCGGGAACUCGGAGCUGAGCGAGCAGAUGUACGACACGGGGAUGUGCGAGGACAUCGUCAACAUCGACAUCAGCGACGCGGUGAUCCGUCAGAUGCAAGAGCGGAGCGGGAGCAAGAGGCCAAAGAUGAACUACCUGCUGAUGGACAUGCUUCAGAUGGACUUCCCUGAUGGCCACUUCCAGGUGGUGCUGGACAAAGGCACGCUGGAUGCCAUCCUCACUGACGAAGAGGAGGCCACUCUAGCUAAGGUGGACAAGAUGUUUGCUGAGGUCAGCCGGGUCCUGCAGGUAGGAGGGCGCUACCUCUGCGUCUCCUUAGCUCAAGCCCACGUGCUGAAGAAAGCGGUGGAAUACUUCUCCCAGGAAGGCUGGGUUGUGCGUGUCCAUCAGGUGGCCAGCAGUGGGGACAAGCAGCAGUUUGUCCUGCCUGUCUUUGUCUAUGUCAUGACAAAGUUCAAGAAGAUCUCUGGCUCGGCACUGCAGAUCCUGGAGAUCUGCCCUGAGGAGCAGGACAAGCCUAUGCGAGUGGAGAGUGCAGAGCGACUGGUGGCAGCAGUGAAGGACAGGCAGCACUAUGCCCUGCUCUGCAGCCAGCUGAGCAAAACCCCCUGCAGAGAGCAGGUUUCUCUGGAUCUAUGCAACAGAGAGAGCGGGAAGCCUCGCUACACUCUGCAUGUGGUUGACAGCCCCUCCGUGAAACCAUCCCGAGACAAUCACUUCGCCAUCUUCAUCAUCCCGCAGGGCAGAGAAACCGAGUGGCUCUUUGGGACGGAGGAAGGGCGGAAGCAGCUGGCCAGCAGUGCGGGCUUCGGGCGCCUCGUCACCGUGGCCCUGCACAGGGAGCAGCACUACGAGGGCAUGGCGGGCAUCCAGGCGGAGCUGUCGGGGAAGGUGAUGGAGCUGGCCCCACCGGGCCUCCCUGCCCGGCAGCAGGUGCCCUUCCUGUCUGUGGGAGGGGACAUUGGGGUGCGGACUGUGCGGCACUGUGACACCAGUGCCCUGAGCGGGGAGUACGUUGUGGAGGACGUGAAGGGGGACGGCACCUGCUACUUCCGACGCCUCAUCUUCCUCUGCAACAGGAACGUGGUACAGUCGGAGGCCCGGCUCCUGGCCCCCAUGUCUCUCCCAGGCCAGAAGAAACGGAGGAAGGACAAGAAGAAGCUCAACCCUGCAGAGCCACCUGCAGCCAUUGACAAGAGCUACCUGUGCUGUGAGCACCACAAAGCCAUGGUUGCAGGGCUCUGCCUGCUGGGGAACCCUGACUCCCUCCCAGAAGCCCCUCUGGCAGUGCUGGUGGUGGGGCUUGGUGGGGGCAGCCUGCCCCUCUUCAUCCACGACUACUUCUCGCAGGCCCAUGUGGCCGUGGUGGAGAUCGACCCGUCCAUGCUUGAGGUGGCCACGCGCUGGUUUGGCUUCUCCCAGGAUGACCGGAUGCGGGUGCAAGUCUCUGAUGGCCUGGACUACGUGGCCAAGCUGUCAGCUGAAGCCCCAGCCCAGUAUGACACCGUCAUGUUUGAUGUGGACAGCAAAGACCUCACGGUGGGGAUGAGUUGCCCGCCCCCAGCCUUUGUGGAAAAGCCCUUCUUGCAGAAAGUGAAAACCAUCCUUAAGCCAGAAGGAGUCUUCGUGCUCAACUUAGUGUGCCGCGAUGCCCAGCUGAAGGAAUCUGUCCUGGCCACCCUCCGGGAGGUCUUCCCACUGCUCUAUGCACGUCGCAUCGAAGGGGAGGUCAAUGAGAUCUUGUUCUGCCAGCCCAGCCCUGAGGGCCAGCGCGACCCUGCGGAACUAGGGGCACGCGCCCGGGCACUGGAGGGGGCCCUCCAGCAGCCUGGGCGCCCCUGGGACACAUCGUAUGCCUUGGCAGACAUGCUGCAAGCCAUCAAGAUUCUCUGAGAGGGGCCCCGAUACUGCUUGAAUGAGAGGUGGCUCCACGUGGGUACUGUGAGCCCUCGGUGCAGGGGUGCCUGUGGCGGGGGCUACCCCUGAGGGGCUGGUGGUAGCCUGGGUCUCCUUGAAGGACAGGACUGGUGCAGAGAGGGGCUUCCCAGGAAGGGAUUUGGGACUGCGGAAGGUUGUGUGGCCCUACGGGCAGCGCUGGGGCAGUGAGAAGAGGGGAGGUGCUGUGAUUCUGGCAGGAUUAUGGGUUUCAGUCUGCCUCCAUUGAUUUCCUGUUGUGGGAAAAGCAUCCCUCUGACCAUCCCCUUCUCUUCAAAGCUGCCUCUCCCCACAUCUCUAUCAUCCCUGGUCACUGAUGUUUCACCCUGCCCAAGCCUGGUGGUGGAUAUGGGUGGGUGGGUAGGCUGAGAACUGUGAAAAUAAAAGCGCUCAGGGCUGCUUGGAAGCCUGAGGUGCUUCUCCAGACUUGUUUCUGCAGCACCCAAGCACCUCUGGAAAAGGUACAGUCACUUCCAUUCCUCAAGGGCGCGUCCUGGGGACAGGCAGCUGCCCCAGGUCUCCCACUGCCUGCUCCCUCCUCACCUUCCCCAAACUGGAUCCCACCAUGUGCCUGCCUCUCUUCUGCAUCUUCACCAGCCAUUGCCACCAUGAACUGGGCACUGUAACCCCUGGGUGCCUCUUCCCUCAGCCCCCUUCGACCAGCAGGGACCCAGCGCUGUGCUCAGGCUCCUGAGCACACAAAGUCAUUGCGGGGGUUUGUCUUCCUCCCCUGCAACAGCUGGUACCAAAAUGAAUCUGAGUCGCUGUACCAAAGUGAUCAGCUUGCAGAUGCCAAGGUGACAACUUGCUCAGGCCUCAUGAUGCUUUGCUACUGAACCUGCACCCUCCUGUGCUCCGUUCCGCCAGUGCCCUGAGCGAGGAGGCCUUUCUGGCAGCUGCUUCCUAAAGGAAAGCUUCCCCAGGCAAUCAUGACAGCCCAGGGUUGUAACAACGCCCGAAGCAGCUCCAGGAGGGGUCUGACCCAGCCACCACUGGAGGCAACAGCAGCCGUAUCUAUUGCUGCUGAAGCCACCUCGCCAGCUUUGCAGCUUGUGUACCCUGUCCCAGCAGGGUGGUGGUGGGCUGGCGCUCAUCAUCCUGUCCUUCCUCAGCAGGACCCAGGUCUCCUUUACCUGUGGGGAAUCAGAUUUGUUUCGAAAGCUGAGUGGGUGGGAGCACGAGGUGGAGGGUCUGUAGUUCCCCAUGGAAGGGGCACCCCAAGAGCUCUCACCCUGGAACCCAGUGGAGAUUCCAGCCACUGUGCUGACGCAGAAGACAAGACUGCUGGUGCCCAGGAGGCACUGUGGGAGCUGUGCCAACAGCAAGCAUCCCUCUGAUCCGUGACUGUGGCUAUAUUUGAAUUUUAAUUUGCCACCAAGUUCUGCUUUGCAAACCGCUCUGUGCAGAUCCCGUCUCCGAUGCUCCGUGCCUCGUUCCCCUUCACAGAGAGGGACAAGCCAGUGCCCUACUUUCUCCCUCAGCUGACCCGCUAGCGCACAGAGGGAGCAGAUGCUUUUUUUACGUAAGUGCUUUUGAUGGUUCCUGGGUGCUGCAGAGCGGCGCUGGCCUGCUCCCCGCCUCAGAUAAGGGAUGGCAAUGCAAGCACGUGCUCUCCAUAUGCUGCUCAGCACCCAAGUGCUCCUCUGUGCUCUGGUGUGCUCAGGGCAGAGUGUGGGCGCUGCUCAAUGGGAGAGACAAGGCUGGAGCUUGGGCUGGGUGGAAGGCUGCCUGCCCCAUGCAGUUAGUUUCUAAAGCUCCUCUAUGAGGAGCAUUUUUUUUUUCAGAAAGAUACCCAUCAUCCAGCCAGCUUAGCGAUGGCAAAUUUCUCAACUGGAUCAGCAGUGCUGCAUAUAGUCUAUUUUAAACUUUGUUUUCAGUCCUCAACAUAAUUCCAAUGACAUCGGUUUGCGUGCAUGCCCUUUAUUUUACCAAAACCAUCUCCUUUUUUCCCCAGGACCCCACACAAAGGCUACGUUCAUCCCUCCCUUGUCCAGUUCUGCCUUUCUGCUGUGCUUCCUAAUCGCUGCCUAACGCCACAUCCUGGUGGGAAAACAAAAGCCAUCUGUGGGAAACAAUGUGAGGACAAAAUCUCAGUUCAUUGCAGCUGUCUUUGCAGCUACUCACGGCCCUCCGAGUUUGGUCUGGAAAUGCAUUUCUGCUGGAAAAUGGAAAAUUCAUGAGUCCUGCAAAUACCUGAAUCCUCCACUGCAGAUAAAACACUCUGAGGCUGGGGUAAUUGAUGUGUAGUAAAUAUUUCCCUCUAGGCAGCCAAAACAUUCAGCUAACGUAUGCCUUUAGCAACUGUUUCUGCUGAGCAUUUUGGCAGUGUACUCAUGUUUACAUCCCUAACUCCUCACUUCCUUCCUUUGCAGCGUAGGCACGCUGGAAGCGGUGGGAUGGAAACAAGCACUACUGUCACUUAGCAACCUCUGCUGGCUUGGAGAUGUUUACUUUUCUCCUUUCUGGAUUUCCCAGCACAAAAAGAGAGAGCCGCAUAACUCAUCACCAGCUGGGGAUGCUCCAUUCUGGUCCAGCCUGGAUCACUCUGGGAGCAUCUUUUCCGUGUCUACCACUGCUCCAGUGAGAGACAGGGAGUCGAUGCCCUAGGUUUUGUGGUCCAGAGCUGUGGAAACGCUUGCCCAGGGUAACUCUGUGGACAGGCAGCUGGCAGGACAGUGAUGCUAUGAGACAGGCAGUGGUGGGGUGCCACACAUACACCCCGUAAGGUAUAACCUCCUCCGGUGUCACAGCCCAGAUCCCUGCUCUGCAGAAGGACUGGAAGUGGCUGGGCUCUCCAGAAGAGGAUGGAGGGGGAAGAGGGAUAUACGGUCAGCAGCUGGAAGUGUGUCAAGUGGCUGGGAGAGAUUCUGCAGUAAAUAAAACUGCAGGGCCUGAGAGCUGAGGCCGAUUCCCUUCAGCUGGGAAGAGAUCUAAUGGGGGUGAGCCUGGCCCUGCUGGCUGGCGCUGCUGCUGCUGCCUGGGCAUGGCGGUGUCACAGCACAGCAAAACAAGGGCUGCAACAGCCACAUCCCGGAGGGUGGAAGGGCUGGGAAAGCAUUUUGUCCAUGAGAUCUUCCCUUAGGGAAGCAUUUGGCUUGUUUGGUUUUGUGCCCAAGGAAGCAGGCGUGCUGCCAGGCUGCAGCGAGGAAGUACAGCUCUUCCAUGGGGUGCCCGGGACUGCAGGGAAACAUCUCUGCUGGCUCUGAUGCAGCACAGGGGUCCUUUUCUCCUCCGCAGCUGGAUACAUCUGAUUAAAGGAUCCAGCUGGAGGUCACAGGGCAGGAGAGAAGCCACUGCACCAGAUGGGGCAGGGAUCAGAAUAGCACUGUCUCGUGGUCUGUGAGUCAGCAGUGCCACAGGGGCAGGCAGAGAGUGCUGCCUCCUUACUGGGAGAAAUGCAGCAACCGCUACUUCUAAUAAUUGCUCUGGAGCCUCUCUGGCUUUCUUUCACUGGGUUUAAUUCUGUCUUUUGCAGCUUCAAGGUCUGGGCUCUCCUCCUGGCACGUAUGCAGGCAUAAUGCUGACCAGCACGUUCAUGCCAGCACUGCAGAGUGAGAGCCACGGAGCUCCCCUGUGCGUGGUGCUCCUUGCCCACAGCUCCUUCAGCUGCCUGAACAGCUCUGCAAGACUCUGGAUUUGUAUCUGAACCAAGGAGGAGCGUAAUUCAUUACAAGACGCUUUGCAACUGUCUCUGCUGGUACUGCCCAUGUUUCUUUUAAUUCGGUCACUCUGAAUCUCAAAUUCAGAAAGUCAGGCUGGAAGGUUGGAACAAGCUGCCUGGAGAAGGCAGGAAAAAUAGGGACCUGAAGAUACACACGAGUACCCUUCCUCUCCUCUUCACUGCUGGAAAAGCAAGUACUCUCGUGAUAACGUGGGCACGCAUAAUGAAAAUGUUCCUACUUUCUCCAGGAGGUGGGAAAUCUAUACUUGGCUGCUUGUGACUUUUUUCUAGGAGGGAGAGUGGAUUUUUCUAAGUGGUGGAUUUGCAGGGUGAGGAUGGCAGAUUAGCGGCUGUAACUGCCUUUCAACAGACAGUUUGGUUUGGAAAUUUCCCAGACUUGGCGGAAUAACAGAAACUUUUCCUAAUCAUAGAUUACUUUUCUUGUUAUUUAUGGAAGCAAACAACAAGCAGUUUAAAGACCUGAUAGAAAGGUCUGUUCCUGUUAUAAAUUUGAAGCUGUUCACAGAGUUGCUCACAAGGUGUCCUGUCUUUCUUUAAUCUUCAUUUGUCUCCUGUGAAGAUGCCAUCCUAAGGCCAGGCUGCUCUCCUACUUAUCUGAAUUAUUUUGCUAGGGCAGCACAAAGUGCUGCAAUGCUCAGACAGGGCGGAUUUGUCUGGAACAUGAUACUGUUCUUCCUGACUUCCAGCAGUUGUAGAAACCCAUAAACUGGAGUUAGGACAGGCAGCUACUCCAGUGCCUUCUGGCAUAGCCUACCCACGCGGGAGUGGGGAAAAA